rnacentral:rRNA from 1 species
GACGAACGCUGGCGGCGUGCUUAACACAUGCAAGUCGAACGGAAAGGCCCUGCUUUUGUGGGGUGCUCGAGUGGCGAACGGGUGAGUAACACGUGAGUAACCUGCCCUUGACUUUGGGAUAACUUCAGGAAACUGGGGCUAAUACCGGAUAGGAGCUCCUUCUGCAUGGUGUGGGUUGGAAAGUUUCGGCGGUUGGGGCUGGACUCGCGGCUUAUCAGCUUGUUGGUGGGGUAGUGGCUUACCAAGGCUUUGACGGGUAGCCGGCCUGGGAGGGUGACCGGCCACAUUGGGACAGAGAAAGGGCCCAGACUCAUACGGGAGGAAGCGGUGGGAAAUAUUGCACAAUGGGCGGAAGCCUGAAGCAGCAACUCCGCGUGCGGGAUGACGGCCUUCGGGUUGGAAACCGCUUUCGCCUGUGACGAAGCGUGAGUGACGGUAAUGGGUAAAGAAGCACCGGCUAACUACGUG